ACCAAACAGCUAGCUCAACCCAGGAGGACAAAUCCUACAACAUAAAUUAGACUAUCACAAACUAACCCAACCAACUAAACCAUUCGACCACCCCAGUACGGGCGACAGAAAAGGACCAAUGAAGCCAUAGACAAAGUACCGCAAGGGAAAGCUGAAAGAGAGCUGAAAUAGCGCACUGAAGUAUAUAAAAGCAGAGACUGAGCCUCGUACCUUUGGCA
rnacentral:rRNA from 1 species